rnacentral:rRNA from 1 species
UAUUGGACAAUGGGCGCAAGCCUGAUCCAGCCAUGCCGCGUGAGUGAUGAAGGCCUCCCCGGCUGUAAAGCUCUUUUGGCGGGGACGAUGAUGACGGUACCCGCAGAAUAAGCCCCGGCUAACUUCGUGCCAGCAGCCGCGGUAAGACGAAGUGGGCUAGCGUUGUUCGGAAUUACUGGGCGUAAAGCGAGUGUAGGUGGUUGUCCAAGUUGGAUGUGAAAGCCUUGAGCUCAACUCAAGAAAUGCAUUCAGGACUGGAUGGCUAGAGGACCGGAGAGGAUAGUGGAAUUCCCAGUGUAGUGGUGAAAUACGUAGAGAUUGGGAAGAACACCAGGGCGAAGGCGGCUAUCUGGACGGUUUCGACACUAAGACCGAAA